AUCAUUACCGAGUUUACAACUCCCAAACCCCUGUGAACAUACCUCAUGUUGCCUCGGCGGAUCAGCCCGCGCCCCGUAAAAAGGGACGGCCCGCCGCAGGAACCCUAAACUCUGUUUUUAGUGGAACUUCUGAGUAUAAAAAACAAAUAAAUCAAAACUUUCAACAACGGAUCUCUUGGUUCUGGCAUCGAUGAAGAACGCAGCAAAAUGCGAUAAGUAAUGUGAAUUGCAGAAUUCAGUGAAUCAUCGAAUCUUUGAACGCACAUUGCGCCCGCCAGUAUUCUGGCGGGCAUGCCUGUUCGAGCGUCAUUUCAACCCUCAAGCCCAGCUUGGUGUUGGGAGCUGCAGUCCUGCUGCACUCCCCAAAUACAUUGGCGGUCACGUCGAGCUUCCAUAGCGUAGUAAUUUACAUAUCGUUACUGGUAAUCGUCGCGGCCACGCCGUUAAACCCCAACUUCUGAAUGUUGACCUCGGAUCAGGUAGGAAUACCCGCUGAACUUAAGCAUAUCAAUAAGCGGAGGA
rnacentral:rRNA from 1 species